GCGCACGUGGCGGAAUUGGUAGACGCGCUAGUUUCAGGUACUAGUAUUGGCAACGAUGUGGAGGUUCGAGUCCUCUCGUGCGCA
rnacentral:tRNA from 1 species